rnacentral:rRNA from 1 species
UACGGAGGGUGCAAGCGUUAUCCGGAUUUAUUAGGUUUAAAGGGUCCGCAGGCGGAAAGGUAAGUCAGUGGUGAAAGCCCGUAGCUCAACUACGGAACUGCCAUUGAUACUGUUUUUCUUGAGUAUGGUUGCCGUUGGCGGAAUAUAACAUGUAGCGGUGAAAUGCUUAGAUAUGUUAUAGAACACCGAUUGCGAAGGCAGCUAACGAAACCAUUACUGACGCUCAGGGACGAAAGCGUGGGGAGCAAACAGG